rnacentral:antisense_RNA from 1 species
CUGCCCAUUUUUCUUUGACAUGUUCAGAUGUUGGCAAGGCUGAAAACUGCAGGGGAUCUGGUUGUGAUAAUCCAGGCACAUGCCCCAAGGAAAUGAGGCUACAUGAUGACACAGCAAGAAGGUGGCUGUCUGCAAGCCAGAAAGAGAGCCCUCCCCAGAGACUGAACCAGCUAGAACCACGAUCUUGGACUUCCAGCCUCCAGAACUGUUAUUCUAGGUCAACUUCCAUGCCUGGAUGUAACCAAAUCAGCAGCCAGACCGUGACCAGGACACAUCAUACCACCUGCCCCCGGCAGAGAUCCUGUGCCCAUGUGUGAUAAGAUGCAAUGAUCUCAUUCAAACUCUGUCUUGUCCUGCUAGCCCUGCUAAACCACUUGAGCCCCUGGAGUCUCUUCCUCCCUUGAGCUUCUACAGCAUUCCUAUCUGGACCAUUCGCCAAGUGGUUAACACCGGAAGCUUUUAUAAAAACUAUGUUGUUUGCUGGGUUGGGUUUCUUACAGUUCCCAGGAGACCACAAGUUACUCAGAGACAGGACCAAGUG